AGGCAUUCCUCUUCCUGUUACGCC
rnacentral:siRNA from 1 species